GCGCACCAGUCGCGAAACCUCCGCAAUACACGAAAGUGUGACGGGGUUACCCAAAGUGUCCAAAUUUGGACUGUGGUAGGUGAGUAAUGUCCCCUACUAGAAAGGAGAGGGCAAGGCUGGUGCCAGCCGCCGCGGUAAAACCAGCUCUUCAAGUGGUCGGGAUAAUUAUUGGGCUUAAAGUGUCCGUAGCCGGUUUAGUAAGUUCCUGGUAAAAUCGGGGUAGCUUAACUAUCUGUAUGCUAGGAAUACUGCUAUACUAGAGGGCGGGAGAGGUCUGAGGUACUACAGGGGUAGGGGUGAAAUCCUGUAAUCCUUGUAGGACCACCAGUGGCGAAGGCGUCAGACUGGAACGCGCCUGACGGUGAGGGGACGAAAGCCAGGGGAGCGAACCGGGAUUAGAUACCCGUGUAGU
rnacentral:rRNA from 1 species